rnacentral:rRNA from 1 species
CGGAGGAAAAGAAACCAACAGGGAUUGCCUCAGUAACGGCGAGUGAAGCGGCAAAAGCUCAAAUUUGAAAUCUAGCACCUUCGGUGUUCGAGUUGUAAUUUGAAGAUGGUAACCUUGGGUUUGGCUCUUGUCUAUGUUCCUUGGAACAGGACGUCAUAGAGGGUGAGAAUCCCGUCUGAUGAGAUGCCCAUUCCUAUGUAAGGUGCUAUCGAAGAGUCGAGUUGUUUGGGAAUGCAGCUCUAAGUGGGUGGUAAAUUCCAUCUAAAGCUAAAUAUUGGCGAGAGACCGAUAGCGAACAAGUACAGUGAUGGAAAGAUGAAAAGAACUUUGAAAAGAGAGUGAAAAAGUACGUGAAAUUGUUGAAAGGGAAGGGCAUUAGAUCAGACUUGGUGUUUUACGAUUAUCUUCUCUUCUUGAGUUGUGCACUCGUAUUUCACUGGGCCAGCAUCGAUUCGGAUGGCAAGAUAAUGGCAGUUGAAUGUGGCUUCACUUCGGUGGAGUGUUAUAGCUUCUGCUGAUAUUGCCUGUCUGGAUCGAGGGCUGCGUCUUUUGACUAGGAUGCUGGCGUAAUGAUCUAAUGCCGCCCG